UCCUACGGGGGGCAGCAGUGAGGAAUAUUGGUCAAUGGGCGCGAGCCUGAACCAGCCAAGUCGCGUGAGGGAAGACGGUCCUAUGGAUUGUAAACCUCUUUUGUCGGGGAGCAAAAGGCGCCACGCGUGGCGUUCCGAGAGUACCCGAAGAAAAAGCAUCGGCUAACUCCGUGCCAGCAGCCGCGGUAAUACGGAGGAUGCGAGCGUUAUCCGGAUUUAUUGGGUUCAAAGGGUGCGCAGGCGGAAGAUCAAGUCAGCGGUAAAAUUGAGAGGCUCAACCUCUUCGAGCCGUUGAAACUGGUUUU
rnacentral:rRNA from 1 species